rnacentral:rRNA from 1 species
GACAGAGGAUGCAAGUGUUAUCCGGAAUUACUGGGCGUAAAGCGUCUGUAGGUGGUUUAGUAAGUCAAUUGUUAAAGCUUGAGGCUUAACUUCAAAACAGCAAUUGAAACUAUUAGACUUGAGUAUGGUAGAGGUAAAAGGAAUUUUCAGUGGAGCGGUGAAAUGCGUAGAUAUUGGAAAGAACACCGAUGGCGAAAGCAUUUUACUGGGCCAUUACUGACACUCAGAGACGAAAGCUAGGGUAGCAAAUGGG